GUACACCUUAUAUUAGAUGGAUGCCUUUUCACUGACCUUUCAUAAGAUUAUCAAGUUGAAGAGCUGAAAGGAGGCAUAGGAAUCAUUUAUUGGACUGUCUUCAUGGUGUGAAUGAAGCAAGGUUUGGAGAGGUUAAAUGAUCACCCAGCAGCUCGAGAGACAUGCUGAUCCAUAAUCCAUGGACUCUGCGUGAAUGGCGCCCCCUGGUGUAGCUUCCGUGGCCAGCAUCCUCCUCCUCAUCAAAAGAAAGCACAAUUGUUGAACCCAACACGCUGAGCAUCUGUCUCUGUCUUUGAAUGUUUGCAAGAGAGACUCAUGAAGGGGAUGAAAGUAUGAGAGAUUUUCCUCCAUUUUGCAAUGGGAAGCUGCAAGAAAAAAAAAAUUGAAUUCUUAAGUUCUCUGCUAACUCAGGCUGCUUGGCUGCCAGAAGAGACAAUGAGUUAUUUCUGCUCCAGACCCUGCCUGACGUAUGUCCUCAGCACAGUGGGCCAGGCCGUCUCCGGUGGCAAAACCUGAAGCAAAAACAAGUGUAGAUGGAGCUACCGGAGAGCAGGUCAUCCCUCGUUCUGAAGGAGGGCUGCCAGGAAGAAGUGACUCUGCACGUACUCAUCCCAUGAAGACUUGUAACGAGCCCUCGGCAUCCUCAGGCGCUGCUAUUUCUCCUCCACAAACAAGUAUUUGUUGAACAUGUGUUGUGGACAUGGCGGAAUGCACGUGUGUGACAUACCUUUUUCAUCUCUGAUGCAUCGUGGCCUCCAGAUGAAGAGCACUGCGGCCAGGAUGAAGAGGAGACUCAAGGGGGAAAAAAAGAGGGUCUCAGUGGCGAGGUCAUAGCUCAUCUCCUUGAAGACAGCAAAGGGGGUGCCUGGGUGGCUCGGGCUGUUAA